GUAGUCAUAUGCUUGUCUCAAAGAUUAAGCCAUGCAUGUCUAAGUAUAAAUAACUUUAUAUUGUGAAACUGCGAAUGGCUCAUUAAAUCAGUUAUGAUCUACGUGACAAAUUCUUUACUACUUGGAUAACCGUGGUAAUUCUAGAGCUAAUACAUGCAAAAAAGCCCUGACUUACGAAGGGGUGCACUUAUUAGAUAAAACCAACGCGGGGUAAAACCUGUUUCUUGGUGAAUCAUAAUAAUUAAGCGGAUCGCAUGGCCUUGUGCCGGCGACGGUCCACUCGAUUUUCUGCCCUAUCAUGGUUGAGAUUGUAAGAUAGAGGCUUACAAUGCCUACAACGGGUAACGGGG
rnacentral:rRNA from 1 species